rnacentral:pre_miRNA from 1 species
GUUUGAAUGGUGCUCAGCACCAAAGACAGGUGUAUUUAAACGUGUGACGGUGUGUGGAUGGCGUUCAGCACCAAGGACAGAUGUGUUUGUCG